rnacentral:rRNA from 1 species
GAAAAGAAAUCAACCGAGAUUCCCCAAGUAGCGGCGAGCGAACGGGGACCAGCCCUUAAGCGAUACAACUGACAGACGAACAAGCUGGGAAGCUUGACGAUACAGGGUGAUAGUCCCGUAGUCGAAGUCUGAGUAUCGUGAAAUCGAGUAGGUCGGGGCACGAGAAACCUUGACUGAACAUGGGGGGACCAUCCUCCAAGGCU